rnacentral:lncRNA from 1 species
AUGUUGCCAUGCGCCAUUGAGCAGGUUUGCAUAGGAAUGAAUGGGCGGCCAUUUUCCAGUCCGUGGUCCAUCCUUUAUUAUGUCCAUGAUGUUACCCAGGCCCCCAGGAUAGGCAUAUACUUCCGCAAUCCACCCGUGCUCAGAGGCCAAACCUGGUAUUGCAGCUGUUUUAGCUGGGAGUGGACGGGGGUCCGUCAUUUCAUGUGGCCCAGAAGUAGAUAUCGCCGUCCACUCCAAUACAAGUGGGGAACAGGAUUGUGUCUCCGCAAAAAAUGUCUGGAUAUCAAUCAAAGGAUCAUAAUUAUCUUUCUACCCUGUUCUAAAAAAAUUCAGACCUUGAUGCUGUGACAACGGACAAGUCUUCUUCCUCUGUCCUUUUCUCCUGCCUCUGUUCAGUAUGUUCAGUGUUGUUAAAUCAUUUCUCUUUUUUUUUUAUUAGUUACUGUUCUUAUUGUGUUCUUGUUAGUGUGAUGUUUGAAUAAACUUGCCUGUUGCAAUGUUGGUAUAAUGUUUGCAUAAUUACUGUUAUACAACUGUUACUGUUUCAAUGUGACCCAGACCAUAUUUCUCAUUUAACAAACAUGUGUAGCUUAUAAUGUGUUGCAUGGCAAAGCAAUUCCCAAGUCCUACAAAAAAGUAACGACUGUAAUAGCAGAUGUUGAAGUUGUUAAAUCGUUAACUAACCAUUUGUAUGGAACAAUCGGUUAAGGUAAGUUAAGUGCUUGAGUCUCGACACUUUAGAGAAUGUCUAGCGCGCAACUUGAAUAAGCCAUGUGCGAUAUUACCCGGGCUCCAGCGCCACUUUCCUUACCAGGUGAAGCCUCAGGUAGCCUAGGACCAUUCAUACAGGAGCAAGCAAGAACGUUACCUGUUUCUGUCCUUGGGAAACGAAAAGACGGACAAUCCGUUUCCACUGUAAGUGCAGUUUAUCAUUGCACAUUUACGAGGCAUUUCUUUUUUAAACUAUCUUUAUUUUCGAAAAAUAAACUGACAGAUUAAAUGAUAUUGACUAUUAUUUAAGGUGGUCAUACCGUACAUACCAUGUAUAUAACACAUUGAACACAAGAAAUUUAAGAAAUUCCAUUUAUGCCCAUGUACUUUCACCAUUACUUUUUUGACUAAUGUACGGCCAACAAUGUUUCUAAUGUGAAGUAGAGGUCUGCAUUGGGAUUGGGUCCCGCCGGGUCCCGCGGGACCCAACCCAAAUCUCGCGGGAGCGGGCGGUUUGAACUU